CCUACGGGAGGCUGCAGUGGGGGAUAUUGCACAAUGGGGGGAACCCUGAUGCAGCGACGCCGCGUGGGUGAAGGAGUGCUUCGGCAUGUAAAGCCCUAUCGGCAGGGAAGAAGCAAGACGGUACCUGACUAAGAAGCCCCGGCUAACUCCGUGCCAGCAGCCGCGGUAAUACGUAGGGGGCGAGCGUUAUCCGGAUUCACGGGGUGUAAAGGGAGCGUAGACGGCCAUGCAAGCCAGGGGUGAAAGCCCGGGGCCCAACCCCGGGACUGCCCUGGGAACUGUGCGGCUAGAGUGCGGGAGGGGCAGGCGGAAUUCCUGGUGUAGCGGUGAAAUGCGUAGAUAUCAGGAGGAACACCGGCGGCGAAGGCGGCCUGCUGGACCGCGACUGACGUUGAGGCUCGAAAGCGUGGGGAGCGAACAGGAUUAGAUACCCCGGUAGUC
rnacentral:rRNA from 1 species